UGCGGAGGAUGCAAGCGUUAUCCGGAAUGAUUGGGCGUAAAGGGUCCGCAGGUGGCAGUGUAAGUCUGCUGUCAAAGAAUGAGGCUUAACCUCAUCAAGGCAGUGGAAACUACACAGCUAGAGUACGGUCGGGGUAGAAGGAAUUCCUGGUGUAGCGGUGGAAUGCGCAGAUAUCAGGAGGAACACCAAUGGCGAAGGCAGAUCUCUGGGCCGUAACUGACGCUGAGGAGCGAAAGCAUGGGGAGCGAACAGG
rnacentral:rRNA from 1 species